AAUUGUUCGAUUUCAUCGGCCUCAUCAAAGAUGAUGCAUAGAAGGUGUCCAGUUCAUGUUCGAUUUGUGUUUCAGGAUAAUAUAAAAAUGGUUGCAUUCUGGCUGACGACAUGGGUUCGGGGAUGACAUUGCAGUCCAUUACUGUACUAUACACACUUCUAUGUCAAGGAUUUGAUGGGACCUCCUACGGUUAAAAAGGCCACCAACGACAAAAUGGGAAGCUGGAAUUAAGAAAUGGGUUUGGAGACAAACAUGACUCAACUUAUAUUCCCUCUGUGAGAUGAUGUUUUGUCUGGAAUAUAGAUAGUUUCACGCGAC